CAUUCUCAAACCUUCUUGGUUUCUUGACCGAGAAGGCUUUGGACUUUGGAGGCUUUUGCUGGACCUUCUCUCGUUGAAGCCAGCUCCUCUUAAAUGAAUUAGUGGGGUCUGCUUUGCUGAUCCUUGACGUGAUAAGAUAGUUCUACUACGUCUUGGGUUUGGCACGGUUUGCUCUAGAUCCUGCUUCUAACCGUCUUGUAUAAGACAAAAGGUCGACUUGACCGACAAA
rnacentral:misc_RNA from 1 species